rnacentral:rRNA from 1 species
CCCGCUGAACUUAAGCAUAUUAAUAAGCAAAGGAAAAGAAAUCAACUGAGAUUGCCUUAGUAAUGGCGAAUGAACCGGCAAAAGCUCAUUGCUGAAGCAUGUUAAAUUCACUUUUGACAUGCAUUGUAGCAUUUGGGGUGACUUUUGUAUAGUGCCUAUUCGUGUGAGUUCCUUUGAUCAGGGCUUCAACCAUAGAAGGUGCUAGUCCUAUAAUCACGAAUAGUUUUGUGCUGUACAUUGUACACCUUUCGAGUAGCGUAGUUUGAGAUUGCUACGCCAACGUGGGACGUAAACUUGUUCCAAAGCUAAAUAUAAUAACGAGACCGAUAGCGAACAAGUACCGUGAGGGAAAGUUGAAAAGCACUCUGAAGAGAGAGUUAAAUAGUACGUAAAACCGUACAGAAGAAAACGAAUGGCCGCAUUCAUCAGAUUAUUUUGAAUUCAAUUCGAUCUCUAUAUGAUGGUAAUACAUGUCGAAGAGGAACUUCAACAGUCCAUUGAUGUGUUCUAUUGCCUAGAGUCGGAUGCAUUUUCAAAAUAUUAACUGAACCUGGAUCUAUAACAUUGAAAGCUAGUCGAAUCAGUCUAUUUUGGUAGCGAGCUUGUCUCGUGUUAAAAAUAUGACUUGCAUAAAUAACAAAUUCGACUUGGCGUUAUAGGUAAAAGACAUGUUUUUUGAUUUCAGUACUCAUUCGAGUACGGCAUGUCAUGAGCAUUGUUUGUGUCAUAUGAGUAACUAAUAUCUAAAAAAUAUUAGUUUUAUUCAUUAUAGAUGCUUAAUGUUUUGUGACUGUCAAUGAAAUCGGCAAGUCAACAGGAGUUUUGAAUGCCGAGUUAUUCGACCCGUCUUGAAACACGG